rnacentral:lncRNA from 1 species
CCCAAAAUCGUUGUACGACAAAGCAUCACCAUGGAAGGUCCAGAAUCAAUGUUCUAUCGUAAAAAAUGUUUUUUAUCUUGACUGUAUCCAAACCUGCUAACGAAAAUACAUGUAGCCUACAGUAAAGUGCAGUAAAUGCAAUUUUAAAUGUCCAGUGGGGGCGUUGUAGUAAACCAUCAUCAAAUAAACAAGCUUUGAUGCAAAAGACAGAAGGUAAUGCAUUAUGCAUCAUACAUGCAAAUAGUAAAAUAGCUGUAAAAUCCAUCACAUAAGCCUAUUAUAAAAUAUAUUCGGAGAGUCUGAAUUGCACAUCAGAUUCGGUCAGGCCAUUACUUUGAUUAUUUCCCUGAAGAGAUGAAUUCCAACUGCAUCUUUCAGCCGCGGUCCAUUCCAGAGAGCAACGUCCAGAAGGACAGCUUCGAUAAUCAACACUUGAUAAGCAUGAUGAUCCCCAACGAGACCUACAGCAGUGGUAUUCUGCAUCCCGCUACCUCAACAACACUUUGGCGCCAGGAAAAUCACUCCCCGAAUAUGGGCUAUUACGGCCAUGGCAUGGCUCCCAGCUCACCAUCAGGUUCCCUGAAUAUGUCAAGUCCGGUCGAUUACAAUAGUUAUUCGCCACAGGAGUCUUACUCUUCGUCGUGUUACAACUCUCCGACGAGGCUGGACUUGAGUUAUGGGUUUGUUCCAGAGCACUACCACUACCAGAACUGCAACCUCCAGGAGAGCGUCUCCACUCCAGAAUACGCACCUUAUGGCACAUCAGACUAUGUAUACGCCUUGCCUGCGGAGGACAGCUACUUCAGGCGUGAUUUGUCAAAUUCAGAGAUGUGCUACCUUUGAAUAUUUAUUCGGUCUUUGUUGUCUGUGUAAAUACAGUAUAGUGUACAGUCAAAACAAUGUCUGUAACUCGAUGUCAAACGUUGACACUUGUGGCACUUGUUUUGAGAUGUAGGCCUGCUUUGCAUUUCAGAGUGUUUGCGGUCGAAGUUUCCUCCGAGUGUCUGUUUUUGAUAUGAUUGGAAUAAUGGUUUUAGAAUUCCCGAGAUUGGAUAAAUGUUGGAUAUGUGUGGGCUUAGUGCUAUCUUCUUAGUUAUUGACUUUGAUAUUUAAGCAAUAAGGCACGAGGGGGUGUGGUUUAUGGUCAAAAUACCACGGCCAAGGGCUGUUCUAAUCUCGAUGCAACGCGGAGUGCCUGGAUAUUGGCCAUAUACCACAAAUGCCCUAGGUGCCUUCAUGCUAUUAUGAACUGGUUACCAACAUAAUUAGAGCAGUAAAAAUAAAUGUUUUGUCAUACCAAUGGUAUAGGGUCUGAUAUACCACGGCUGUCAGCCAAGCAGCAUUCAGGGCUUGAACCAAGUUUAUAAAUAUAUAUAUACAAUUCUAAUGAUGUCAUCCUGCUUUUUUACAAGACAGUAUAUUUUUUCAGCAUAUUUUUUCUUAUGGAUGCAUUCAUUUUGUAAAUGAAUUGAAAAGCCUACCCAAAGGAAAUUAGCAGCAUCAUCCCCUUCAACUCACUAUUUAGUUUCCCUGUGCAGAUGCACACCGAUGCUUAGUUAGAAACAUUAACUUAAAUAGAUCAAUCAUUCAAAUAAAAGUGUCUAAUAAACCAAGAUAAAUUACAAUAGACAAACGGUAAUGAUCUAGAAUUUUUUAUAGUGCUUGUCAUUGCAAAAAUAAUCUCAAAACCCACUGACAAAAGAAGAAAAACAAAACAAUAAGGUUAACAUUGACCGCUCUUGAUGUGGAAAAAUGAUCUUCCAUGGAGGCAGACGCAAGUGCACGUCGCAUCAGGUCACAUCCAACUCAAGAGACGCCUGUCUCCACUCUACCCUCCUUGCACACCAUCCUCUGCCUCGGGAUCCAAGUCUCCUCCGAGGCCGAGAUAAAGCGGGGUUGAGCAGGGAUAGAAGUAGGCCUGCCUGUCCAAAAUGAUCAUAUUGUUACAUAUUACCAAAAACACGCAC